rnacentral:rRNA from 1 species
AUUGAACGCUAGCGGGAUGCCUUACACAUGCAAGUCGAACGGAGUGGCGAACGGGUGAGUAAUGUAUCGGAACGUGCCCAGUAGCGGGGGAUAACUACGCGAAAGCGUAGCUAAUACCGCAUACUUUUGGAUCUGCCUAUAUCGGUUUAGCUAGGUGGUGGGGUACUGGCUCACCAAGGCGACGAUCCGUAGCCGGUUUGAGAGGACGACCAGCAACACGUGGACUGAGACACGGCCCAGACUCCGACGGGAGGCAGCAGUGGGGAAUUUUGGACAAUGGGGGAAACCCUUAUCCAGCCAGCCCGCGUGUGCGAUGAAGGCCUUCGGGUUGUAAAGCACUUGUGGCAGGAAAGCGGUACCUGCAGAAUAAGCACCGGCUAACUACGUGCCAGCCGCCGCGGUAAUUC